CUUCUUUAUCAGGUUUACAAGACCAACGAGAAUGUCAUCGUGUGUGAUGUAAUGUGCCUUAACCUGCAAAGAUACAUGCCCUGUUUAUGAAACAUGUCUUCUCUGAAAUAGAACCUGAACCAUAGAAGUCUCACCUCAAACACGAAAAGGUGAAGAUAUCUGGAAGUGGUCCAAAAGACUAACGAAAGUACCUAAUUGUGCUGCAUCACUUUUCAUCAACCCAGAGGCAUCUUUUCCCUUUUGUGCCUUUUGCUCUUCCUAGGAAGUGUCAGCUCAUAAAAGGUCUGAAGGAGAGGCAAUGGUGGUGGUUUUAAAUACUGGCCUUGGAUUUGGUCUUCCUCUGACUGUAUCCAGCAGCAGUGAGCACACUAUCAGGAAAACUUGUCUGAUUCGGGUGAACUUUCUGUGAAAUUUCCACUGCUUCCAAGGAACUGUUGUACAUGCCUGCCCCUGGUUGACUGACUUCUGAUGCGUAGCAACAAAGUCAUCUAAUUUGAUGGUGAUCAUCCCAUCUCCCUGGCCGGCAAUGCCCAUCAAAGGGUUGCUUUCAAGAUGCGUAAAUGUUGUCCAGCACAUAUAGUUUUGAUAUGAUUAGAUGUAUGCGAUAAUGUUCGUUCUCUGCAGGUGGCUUUCACACAAUUCUUGCUCCCAGGCUGUCAAUAUAGUAAUGCACAUCAAGGGCAUCUCCUGGUUACUAAAGCAUCUGAUGAUUAGCAUAUACUAGCAUUAUACUUUGAACUACAAUACGUGAAGAGGGGUGCAGCUUUGGAUGAUUGGAAUCUCCGUCGGACUCAUUUGGACGGAAGUGCUUGUUGAGAAACUGCAGGCUUUCAGGAAUACGGUAUGCCAGUGUGAGGACAUAGCGACCGGAAGGUAGGUUAGGAAGUAUGCAGUCCUGACAUAGUGAUAUGUCAGGGAUGAAUUGGACUCUUGCUAAAAAUCAAGGUCCAGAUCGGAUAGAUCGCGACUGCAAGGCAAAUGAAGUUUCAUGCUGGUUACUGGCUUCUGAAGGUACCAAUAGAUAAUAGACUGUGCUGGCAAUUUGGUCAGUCAUCUGAGACAAGGACAUCAUACCUUUUGAAUCUGUAGAUCAACCACAUUGAUAAGAAAAUUCAACAAACUUGGUAUUGUUCAACACGAAGGAUCUGUGUCAUUGACAAGAGGAUAAAAUAAGCUGAUCAUAGGUCAUUGAAGUUUGAUUGCUUAAGCAUUUUGGACUUUUGGAAUAGACAGAUCAAUGCUGCAAAUAUUAGAUUUUCAAACUGCAUGUAACAUGUAAAAUGACACUGUAGCAUAUAUGGUUGUAAAUAAUUGAUAGUUCCAUGCUGA